UACGUAGGGUGCAAGUGUUAAUCGGAAUUACUGGGCGUAAAGCGUGCGCAGGCGGUCUGUUAAGACCGAUGUGAAAUCCCCGGGCUUAACCUGGGAACUGCAUUGGUGACUGGCAGGCUUUGAGUGUGGCAGAGGGAGGUAGAAUUCCACGUGUAGCAGUGGGAUGCGUAGAGAUGUGGAGGAAUACCGAUGGCGAAGGCAGCCUCCUGGGCCAACACUGACGCUCAUGCACGAAAGCGUGGGGAGCAAACAGG
rnacentral:rRNA from 1 species